GCCAUGGUGAAGGAAAUCGUGGGACGUUCUAAAUGGGGAGAGCUGUUUGGGUAUAAAAACCAGCAGUCAGAAGGGGUCAAACAUCACGCCAAAUACUAUAGCAGAGAGGAACAAGGAAGAUCUCUAUCUGAAUAAAAGCACUUCCCAUCUCACUGAGCAAUGUCUGGAAGCCUGUACAUUGUUUUGAUUCUACUCGAAGCAGUUCUGCAUGGAACAGUUUCUGGUACUGCUUCCUCUUUAACUGAACCAAGUUCUACACCAACGAAUGUCCCUUCAUCCAAUACCUUAACUG